AAUGGGGGAUAACGUAGCGAAAGUUACGCUAAUACCGCAUAUGCCCUGAGGGGGAAAGUGGGGGAUCGCAAGACCUCACGUUUUCGGAGCGGCCGAUAUCAGAUUAACUAGUUGGUGGGGUAAAGGCCUACCAAGGCGACGAUCUGUAGCUGGUCUGAGAGGACGACCAGCCACACUGGGACUGAGACACGGCCCAGACUCCUACGGGAGGCAGCAGUGGGGAAUUUUGGACAAUGGGGGCAACCCUGAUCCAGCCAUGCCGCGUGAGUGAAGAAGGCCUUCGGGUUGUAAAGCUCUUUCGGACGGAAAGAAAUCCUAUCCGCUAAUACCGGGUGGGGAUGACGGUACCGUAAGAAGAAGCACCGGCUAACUACGUGCCAGCAGCCGCGGUAAUACGUAGGGUGCGAGCGUUAAUCGGAAUUACUGGGCGUAAAGCGUGCGCAGGCGGUUUAUUAAGACAGAUGUGAAAUCCCCGGGCUUAACCUGGGAACUGCAUUUGUGACUGGUAGGCUAGAGUGUGGCAGAGGGGGGUAGAAUUCCA
rnacentral:rRNA from 1 species